rnacentral:rRNA from 1 species
ACCUGCCUUAUAGUGGGGGAUAGCCUUUCGAAAGGAAGAUUAAUACCGCAUAAGAUUGUAGUAUCGCAUGAUAUAGCAAUUAAAGGAGCAAUUCGCUAUAAGAUGGACCCGCGUCGCAUUAGCUAGUUGGUGAGGUAAUGGCUCACCAAGGCGACGAUGCGUAGCCGACCUGAGAGGGUGAUCGGCCACAUUGGGACUGAGACACGGCCCAGACUCCUACGGGAGGGCAGCAUG